rnacentral:lncRNA from 1 species
CGCAAGAGUCAGCAUCCAGACUACCUUUGUUCUGCAGCCAGGGAUGACGUUUUUUAAUGGAAAAGACUGUUGAUAUAUUGGAGGAAUAUCUGUCAAGAUUAUAUUUCAAUUGCUGCCUUCGAAAUGGGGGGCAGGUAGUGCCUUUCUGAGACCAGCUAAGUCGCUGACAAAGAAGCUGCAAAACACAACAAAAUUAAAUAAGGAAGGAGAAAGAAUGAUGCAACUCUGAAGAAACUCAGAAAAUAUGCAGAUCUGUUUCCCCCCCMCACACACACACACUCUGUGGAUCUAUGUAAUUAGAAAUGAGAUGCAGGACUGAAGACUGCCAAUGCUAACGAGAGAAAGAUGGCACAGGGCACUGCAUGCAAGUAAAUUCCACUUCGACAAUCCUCAUCGUUUGGAAGUUGCAGCUCCCCAUUACCACAAAGCAAGCUCAGGAGAACUGAGAAAACGAAGAGGAAGCGGGCCAUCCUCCUCCUGCAGGGAGUAACUCAGUUUGUCAAACGCUGAUUUCAAGGAACCUUACUAAAGACCCAAACGAGGCAUUUUGCAAAUGGGGAUUCUUCCACUCCGGCAGAAACUUUCAUAAGAGUCUGAAUGAGAUGUAGCAGCCAUGUCUGCUAUACGUGAACUGCCUGACAGGACAUAACAAGYGAACAAAACACCUCUUAUCCCGGAGAAGCAAGUUCAUGAUAUCUGAAGUCAAAACUUAUUUGUGAAAUCUGAUCCAGAUGCUGCUUUGCUAAUCUCUGGAUUGUA